CCUGACUGACCGAUAGUGAACCAGUACCGUGAGGGAAAGGCGAAAAGAACCCCGGCGAGGGGAGUGAAAAAGAACCUGAAACCGUGUACGUACAAGCAGUGGGAGCCUCUUAAUGGGGUGACUGCGUACCUUUUGUAUAAUGGGUCAGCGACUUAUAUUCUGUAGCAAGGUUAACCGAAUAGGGGAGCCGAAGGGAAACCGAGUCUUAACUGGGCGUUAAGUUGCAGGGUAUAGACCCGAAACCCGGUGAUCUAGCCAUGGGCAGGUUGAAGGUUGGGUAACACUAACUGGAGGACCGAACCGACUAAUGUUGAAAAAUUAGCGGAUGACUUGUGGCUGGGGGUGAAAGGCCAAUCAAACCGGGAGAUAGCUGGUUCUCCCCGAAAGCUAUUUAGGUAGCGCCUCGUGAAUUCAUCUCCGGGGGUAGAGCACUGUUUCGGCAAGGGGGUCAUCCCGACUUACCAACCCGAUGCAAACUGCGAAUACCGGAGAAUGUUAUCACGGGAGACACACGGCGGGUGCUAACGUCCGUCGUGAAGAGGGAAACAACCCAGACCGCCAGCUAAGGUCCCAAAGUCAUGGUUAAGUGGGAAACGAUGUGGGAAGGCCCAGACAGCCAGGAUGUUGGCUUAGAAGCAGCCAUCAUUUAAAGAAAGCGUAAUAGCUCACUGGUCGAGUCGGCCUGCGCGGAAGAUGUAACGGGGCUAAACCAUGCACCGAAGCUGCGGCAGCGACACUAUGUGUUGUUGGGUAGGGGAGCG
rnacentral:rRNA from 1 species